GGACGCUGUAAUCUGCAGGGGCAAUGUGAACCUCUAUAUCUCUGCCUCUGUUCCCCUAUCAUCACAGCUUUAACCAACACGCAACUGGGAAAGACUAUUCACUCUGAUCAAUGUCACCACAAAGGCAAGCUAAAGAACGGAACAUGCCAGGAAUAAGUAAUUGGAAGCCCUUCACAUGUCAUCUCUCCAACGCUAUGAAACCAGCGCUUUGAGGAGGGUUUUCAGAAGGCUCUCAACAAUGCAGAUGGCAAAUCAAGAUAAAAUGAUCUGUACCUCAGUCCAGCAGUGAAUUUCAAACACAGAUUCAACCACAAAGACCAGGGAGAUCAAACCCAGUUCAAUAACUGAGUCUCUCAUGUGUACUAACGGCCAAUGCAGGCUUCACAGAAACCAACAAGUCCUGAUUCAAGACUAUCUCCUUCAAAAUGAUCUCAUUCAAGACAAUCUACUUCAAGACUAUCUGUUUCAAGACUGUCUGCUUCAAGACUAUCUGCUGUAUGUCUGUGCUUCUCCUCAUUUCACCAGGCCGGUGGUAGCUGGUCCCUUACAAGACGGUGAGGUGCCGGAGGUCCCUCCGCCCCCUCUGGACAUCGAGGGGUCCCCGGCAUAUACAGUACGUGCCAUUCUGGACUCAAGACGCCGGGUGAGGGGCCUGCAGUACGGACCGGAGGAGAGGUGCUGGGUGCCGGCGGG
rnacentral:lncRNA from 1 species